UACGAAGGGGGCUAGCGUUGCUCGGAAUCACUGGGCGUAAAGCGCACGUAGGCGGAUAUUUAAGUCGGUGGUGAAAUCCUGGAGCUCAACUCCAGAACUGCCUCCGAUACUGAAUGUCUUCGAGUCCGGGAGAGGUGAGUGGAACUGCGAGUGUAGAGGUGAAAUGCGCAGAUAUCAGGAAGAACACCAAUGGCGAAAGCAGCUCUCUGGGACGGUACUGACGCUGAGACGCGAAAGCGUGGGGAGCGAACAGG
rnacentral:rRNA from 1 species